rnacentral:rRNA from 1 species
UACGUAGGGUGCGAGCGUUGUCCGGAAUUACUGGGCGUAAAGCGUGCGUAGGUGGUGAGUUAAGUCUGUCGUGAAAGCCCCGGGCUCAACCUGGGAAUGGCGAUGGAUACUGGCUCGCUAGAGUGCGGUAGAGGAGAGUGGAAUUCCCGGUGUAGCAGUGAAAUGCGUAGAGAUCGGGAGGAACAUCAGUUGCGAAGGCGGCUCUCUGGACCAGCACUGACACUGAGGCACGAAAGCGUGGGGAGCAAACGGG